GAUGAACGCUGGCGGCGUGCCUAAUACAUGCAAGCCGAACGAAACUUCUUUAUCACCGAGUGCUUGCACUCACCGAUAAAGAGUUGAGUGGCGAACGGGUGAGUGACACGUGGGCAACCUGCCCAAAAGAGGGGGAUAACACUUGGAAACAGGUGCUAAUACCGCAUAACCAUAGUUACCGCAUGGUAACUAUGUAAAAGGUGGCUAUACUACCGCUUUUGGAUGGGCCCGCGGCGCAUUAGCUAGUUGGUAGGGUAAAGGCUUACCAAGGCAAUGAUGCGUAGCCGAAUUGAGAGGUUGAUCGGCCACAUUGGGACUGAGACACGGCCCAAACUCCUACGGGAGGCAGCAGUAGGGAAUCUUCCACAAUGGGCGAAAGCCUGAUGGAGCAACGCCGCGUGGGUGAAGAAGGUCUUCGGAUCGUAAAACCCUGUUGUUAGAGAAGAAAGUGCGUGAGAGUAACUGUUCACGUUUCGACGGUAUCUAACCAGAAAGCCACGGCUAACUACGUG
rnacentral:rRNA from 1 species